rnacentral:rRNA from 1 species
GAGUUUGAUCAUGGCUCAGAUUGAACGCUGGCGGCAGGCCUAACACAUGCAAGUCGAACGGUAACAGGAAACAGCUUGCUGUUUCGCUGACGAGUGGCGGACGGGUGAGUAAUGUCUGGGAAACUGCCUGAUGGAGGGGGAUAACUACUGGAAACGGUAGCUAAUACCGCAUAACGUCGCAAGACCAAAGAGGGGGACCUUCGGGCCUCUUGCCAUCAGAUGUGCCCAGAUGGGAUUAGCUAGUAGGUGGGGUAACGGCUCACCUAGGCGACGAUCCCUAGCUGGUCUGAGAGGAUGACCAGCCACACUGGAACUGAGACACGGUCCAGACUCCUACGGGAGGCAGCAGUGGGGAAUAUUGCACAAUGGGCGCAAGCCUGAUGCAGCCAUGCCGCGUGUAUGAAGAAGGCCUUCGGGUUGUAAAGUACUUUCAGCGGGGAGGAAGGGAGUAAAGUUAAUACCUUUGCUCAUUGACGUUACCCGCAGAAGAAGCACCGGCUAACUCCGUGCCAGCAGCCGCGGUAAUACGGAGGGUGCAAGCGUUAAUCGGAAUUACUGGGCGUAAAGCGCACGCAGGCGGUUUGUUAAGUCAGAUGUGAAAUCCCCGGGCUCAACCUGGGAACUGCAUCUGAUACUGGCAAGCUUGAGUCUCGUAGAGGGGGGUAGAAUUCCAGGUGUAGCGGUGAAAUGCGUAGAGAUCUGGAGGAAUACCGGUGGCGAAGGCGGCCCCCUGGACGAAGACUGACGCUCAGGUGCGAAAGCGUGGGGAGCAAACAGGAUUAGAUACCCUGGUAGUCCACGCCGUAAACGAUGUCGACUUGGAGGUUGUGCCCUUGAGGCGUGGCUUCCGGAGCUAACGCGUUAAGUCGACCGCCUGGGGAGUACGGCCGCAAGGUUAAAACUCAAAUGAAUUGACGGGGGCCCGCACAAGCGGUGGAGCAUGUGGUUUAAUUCGAUGCAACGCGAAGAACCUUACCUGGUCUUGACAUCCACGGAAGUUUUCAGAGAUGAGAAUGUGCCUUCGGGAACCGUGAGACAGGUGCUGCAUGGCUGUCGUCAGCUCGUGUUGUGAAAUGUUGGGUUAAGUCCCGCAACGAGCGCAACCCUUAUCCUUUGUUGCCAGCGGUCCGGCCGGGAACUCAAAGGAGACUGCCAGUGAUAAACUGGAGGAAGGUGGGGAUGACGUCAAGCCAUCAUGCCCCUUACGACCAGGGCUACACACGUGCUACAAUGGCGCAUACAAAGAGAAGCGACCUCGCGAGAGCAAGCGGACCUCAUAAAGUGCGUCGUAGUCCGGAUUGGAGUCUGCAACUCGACUCCAUGAAGUCGGAAUCGCUAGUAAUCGUGGAUCAGAAUGCCACGGUGAAUACGUUCCCGGGCCUUGUACACACCGCCCGUCACACCAUGGGAGUGGGUUGCAAAAGAAGUAGGUAGCUUAACCUUCGGGAGGGCGCUUACCACUUUGUGAUUCAUGACUGGGGUGAAGUCGUAACAAGGUAACCGUAGGGAACCUGCGGUUG